ACAGCGAUAGUGUGUAUCAGUGUUAUUGUGUGUUUAUUACAUUUUUUCGAAAAUAUUCUAUGCUAAAUUAAGUUGAUAAAAUGAAUAGUUGUGUUUUAUUUUUUAUGUUGAGAAUCACAACAAUCUAUUUCUCUACAUAU